GCCGUGACCUGCUGCGUUGUCCGGAUCUCAUACGGCCUCCGGAGCCGUGUGCGCAGGUUCGAAUCCUGCCGGGGGCA
rnacentral:tRNA from 1 species